GGCAAGAAAUCAUUCAUAUGUCAAUUGAGUCCAAUCCGUGCAGACUCCGAUCUGAUUGGGUCGGACCCGAUUCAAGUCCAUGGUUAGGGCUCGUUGCGGCGAGAAGCCUAUGGAUUCCCCCGAUGCCCGGGAGGAGGAGGGACCGGCCGGGAGAAGGAAGGAGAAAGAUCGAACCAGCAAAGGAAGGAAAGAAAGAGGCCAAGAACGGCUGGUGGAUCGGGAUUUCGUGGGACGAGGAUACUGCGAUUUGGUUAUCAUUGCUCGAUCCACUGGCGACUCAUUUGGUAAGCCAAAUUUACUUCCCCACGAUACCGAUCCAAAGAAAGAUGCGGCCUUUAUCCUCUGCGAGCUCAUAAAUAGCGAGAAGGAACGUAGAGUACAACAGGGCAGUGAUAUCUUCUUAUCCUUUACGUGCGUUUCUCACUUGGUCUUGUACGGUUCUUUGGGGACGUUGUGACCGAUCGGUCGAUCGUAUCUUCGGCUGUGAGCAGAGCACAGGAUCCUUUCCGCAGGUCUCCAACAUACUUAUAUAGCUUGAAAAUUUUGCAAGUUCUUCCCUACAAAAAAGGAUGGAG